UACGAAGGGGACUAGCGUUGUUCGGAAUUACUGGGCGUAAAGCGCACGUAGGCGGAUUUGUAAGUCAGGGGUGAAAUCCCGGGGCUCAACCUCGGAACUGCCUUUGAUACUGCAAAUCUCGAGUCCGAUAGAGGUGGGUGGAAUUCCUAGUGUAGAGGUGAAAUUCGUAGAUAUCAGGAGGAACACCGGUGGCGAAAGCGGCCCACUGGCCCGAUACUGACGCUCAUGUUCGAAAGCGUGGGGAGCAAACAGG
rnacentral:rRNA from 1 species